rnacentral:tRNA from 2 species
CCGAUGUAGCUCAGCUGGCUAGAGCAGCUGAUUUGUAAUCAGCAGGUCGGAGGUUCGAGUCCUCUCAUCGG